rnacentral:rRNA from 1 species
UACGAAGGGGGCUAGCGUUGCUCGGAAUCACUGGGCGUAAAGCGCACGUAGGCGGAUUGCUAAGUCAGGGGUGAAAUCCUGGAGCUCAACUCCAGAACUGCCUUUGAUACUGGCAACCUUGAGUCCGGGAGAGGUGAGUGGAACUGCGAGUGUAGAGGUGAAAUUCGUAGAUAUUCGCAAGAACACCAGUGGCGAAGGCGGCUCACUGGCCCGGUACUGACGCUGAGGUGCGAAAGCAUGGGGAGCAAACAGG